UCCCUGGAGGUCCAGUGGUUAGGACUCAGCACUUUAACUGCCGGAGCCCCAGGUUCAAUCCCUGGUCGGGGAA
rnacentral:tRNA from 1 species